rnacentral:rRNA from 1 species
CAAGUCGAACGCGAAAGUCCCCCUCGGGGGACAAGUAGAGUGGCGCACGGGUGAGUAACACGUAGGUAAUCUACCUUCGGAUGGGGAAUAACACCGAGAAAUCGGUGCUAAUACCGCAUAAUGCAGCGGCACCUAAUGGUGACAGUUGUUAAAGCGGGGGAUCGAAAGACCUCGCGUCUGAAGAGGAGCCUGCGGCGGAUUAGCUAGUUGGUAAGGUAACGGCUUACCAAGGCGACGAUCCGUAGCCGGCCUGAGAGGGCGGUCGGCCACACUGACACUGACAUACGGGUCAGACUCCUACGGGAGGCAGCAGUCGGGAAUUUUGGGCAAUGGGCGAAAGCCUGACCCAGCAACGCCGCGUGAAGGAUGAAAUCCCUCGGGAUGUAAACUUCGCAAGAACGGGAAGAAUAAGUCUGCGUGAAUAUCGCAGGCGAUGACGGUACCGUUUGUAAGCUCCGGCUAACUCCGUGCCAGCAGCCGCGGUAAUACGGGGGGAGCAAGCGUUGUUCGGAUUUACUGGGCGUAAAGGGCGCGUAGGCGGCCAGCGCAAGUCAGUUGUGAAAUCUCCGGGCUUAACUCGGAAAGGUCAACUGAUACUGCGCGGCUAGAGUGCAGAAGGGGCAACUGGAAUUCUCGGUGUAGCGGUGAAAUGCGUAGAUAUCGAGAGGAACACCUGCGGCGAAGGCGGGUUGCUGGGCUGACACUGACGCUGAGGCGCGAAAGCUAGGGGAGCGAACGGGAUUAGAUACCCCGGUAGUCCUAGCCUUAAACGAUGAAUGCUUGGUGUCUGGGGUUAUAUAGUCCCCGGGUGCCGUCGCUAACGCUUUAGCAUUCCGCCUGGGGAGU